rnacentral:rRNA from 1 species
GUGUCGCCUGUUUAUCAAAAACAUCUUUUCUUGUUAGUUUUUGAAGUAUGGCCUGCCCACUGACGUUGAUUGAAGGGCCGCGGUAUUUUGACCGUGCAAAGGUAGCGUAAUCAUUAGUUCUUUAAUUGUGAUCUGGUAUGAAUGGCUUGACGAGGCAUGGGCUGUCUUGGAUGUGAAUUUAUUUAUUGAAUUUGGUUUUUGAGUUAAAAUUCUUAGAUGGUUUUAUGGGACGAGAAGACCCUAUAGAGUUUGACAUUAGGUUUACUCUUGCUUUAUGUUUGUUUUGUAUUGUUUUGUAUUCUUAUUGUUUUGUUGGGGUGAUGGGAGGAAUAGUAUUUAACUCCUCUUUUUGUUUGGUAUAUUUAUUUAUGUUUAUUUUGAUCCAUUUAUUUUGAUUGUAAGAUUAAAUUACCUUAGGGAUAACAGCGUCAUUUUUUAAAAAA